UACUACUUAUAGAUCUACCAGUUGAUAAACAUCAUCAUCAUAGAUAAUAAUCUACAUCUAUAAUCAUAGUGCCCUUUAUUUAGUCAAUAUAGUCAAGUCAAGAUAGUGGAACGUAAACUCGAAGGUUUAAUACAAUACGUUAUUAACAAGUAGAACCAUGGCAACCAGUUCUGAUGAUGUUCCAGAAUGGCUCAAGGAUCAUACUUAUACUAUUUCUACUCUCUGGGCAUCCAUUCAAUAUUUAAUUUAUGUUUGGAAAUGCAAGAAAAAGGCAUGCAUUCCUGAAAAGUCAAUGAUUGGUUGCACCUC